UAUCCAAAAACCGCCAUUUUAACCCUGGAAAUAACGGCGGUUUGAACCGCCGUUUUAACCAACCAAAACGCCACUCUGUCAGGGUAAUAAUGGCGGUUCAAACCGCCGUUUUAACCUAUCCAAGAACCGCCAUUUUAAUCCUGGAAAUAACGGUGGUUUGAACCGCCAUUUUAACCUAUCCAAAAACCGCCGUUUUAAUCCAGAAAAUUAUGGCGGUUUUCAAAAAACUACCGUAAUAACUAGAAUGGCGCCCAAAAUUACGUCGCUUCCUAAAACCGCCAUUCUUGGUAAUAAUGGCGGUUCAAACCGCCGUAAAUACCUAAAAAAACCGCCGUUUUAACCAGAAUUUUUUGUAGUGUACCCCACAUGAAACAUUUCAGAAACUCUUUAAUCCAAGUAUCAGCAAAAGAGAUUUUAAAGCCUUGAAUGAUAAUUUUAAAUUGAGUGUUCAUAAUUUUAUGUAUGUUAUUAUAAUUAGAUAUUAUCAAUCUCCAGGUAUCAUUAGAUACUAUUAUUUAAGGGCUAUGGUACAUUUUUUUGUACUAAUUAGAUAAGUAAUAUUUAAAAUAUAAUAAUAGUAUUUACUAAUAUAAAGUGUUACCCGUUUAGUAUUGUGUGUUCCAUUGCAUGAUUUAAUAUAAAGUGUUUUACUGCAUUUAAAAUUUUUAAUUCUACUCCAUAUGGUUCCAAAAUAUAAUCUUUGAAUCUUGGCUAUAGUGUUUUGGAUUAGGAAUUUUGUGUUUUCAAUUGGUGGUAUUUGAAUGUUAGUUUAGUAUUGGAUUUGGUGGGUGAGGCUUUAGGAUUUAUGGUAUUUGAGUCCAUAGUUUAUUUUUUAAGGUUUAUGUCUUUAUGGUUUGAUUGAUAGGUUCUUUUAGCAUUUAGGUUUCCUGCUUUGCGAUUUUGAAUAUAUGGUUAAGGGUUAAAGUUUAGGAUUUUUUGUGUAGUUUAUGUUCUCGGUUUUACAAAUAAUGAAAUUAGUGUGACGAGUUUAGAAUUUACAGUUUAGGAUUCAUGAUUUUGCAAUUUAUGGUAUGAGUUUUGGGAUUUGAGGUUAAGAGUUUAGAGUUUUGGGUUUGUGAUUUUCUAUUUAAGUAUUACGGUAUACGAUUCAAAUUUACAUAUAGGUUUAGCGGAGGUUAGGGUUUGAGAGUUACUAUUUAAGCUUGUUGGUUUAGAGUUCAGUAUUUAUAAUUUAUGGUUUGUUAGGAGCAUUAAGAGAUUGUAGUCGAUGAUGUAAGAUUUAGGGUUUACAUUUUAUGGUUUACAAUAUUGGCUUAAUCAUUUAGGAUUUAUGUUUUCCAACGUAAAAAAUUUCACCAUUGUAAUAUUAUUCGAGAAAAAAAAAUUUGUAUACGCUAUUGAUUCAUUUGUAACAGACGCGGAUAAUCAAAGUAACCAAUAUAUUUUAAUUUUAUUUGGACUUUGAACCGAUUUUAUUUAUUUUCACAAUGAAUGAUCAUUUUGUUUCACAACCCACACAAUCUGGCCCGGUAAAUAUUUUUUUCACAAAGCCUCAAACCUUUAAUUAAAAAAUUAGUUGAAGAUAUCUUUUUCAGUACACUUUAUAUUGUACCAAGCUUUUCACUUUAUUACUUUCUACUGAGAAUAUCGAUCUGAGACUUUAUUCUUCCACAUAAUCCAUUAUUACACAUGUGCCUAAGCCAAGCCACAACAUGACUCCAAAGCUUAUUUUUGUCUGAUCUAGCAGUCAAGGAUGUCCAUAAUAGCCAACAGAGACGACAUGAGCAGGCAUGCAUUUUAGAGGUUUAUCGAAUUGUGGUAUGCAUGGCCAAGGUUCAAGAACCCCUUUUUCCAAUUCAACGUCAACAAGUAGGUAUAAUCUGAUACUCUCUACCAUAAAGUUAUGAUAGUAUAUAAUUUUUACUCUUUAGAUAUAUUCAAUUAUAAUAUUCUACUAUAAUGUGUUAAGCAACAAAUAUUAAACGUUCUAUCAAUGGAUCGUAAGAAGACAUAGCAUUGACGAAACAUAUAAUGGAAAAUUUUAAGCAACAAGAUUAUAAUUUCAUAUUUGUGAUGGUCAUAGGUAACAACUGUUUAUGAUGCACUUUGGUGACAAGAGAAAAUGAAAUGUUUAUUCCAUUUUAUGAGCUAAAGAAGGUUUAUAAGUUAUAUGACACCCAUAAAUAUUGUACUGUCAAACUUCGAUAUGUUAGUUGGGGUAUAUUUUAUCUCAUCAUGUGGGAUAAGCACUGGAACCAGGUGACAGGAGAAGUAUCUGCUGACCACUAUAUAAAGGACGUCUUUUCCUUCACAGAGAUUUAUCUCAUCCAUAAUGUAUUUUAGUUUAAGGUAUUCUGAUAAAGACCCCUCUACAAUAGCUCAAAUAAGAACAAGCAAUGAUGAGUCGAAGAAAGAUAAAGUAACCACUAAACAAACUCCUAAAAUGUAACACACAUUGUUAUAAUUUAAGAGCAUCAACCAAUUUUUAUUUAUAUACUAACAUACAUACUCUAUUAACUAUCUGACUUUUUUGAGAUAGUGACAUAAAAAGGAAAGUUGAAGUCGAGGAUUUAAGUGAUUAUUAUUGUGAAAGGUAUUUCGUGAUUUGAUUUAUAUGUCUAUGUGAAAUACUUUGUUACCAGCCUAAUAUUUUUAUGUAUUUUACAAAUAGAUCAAUAGGCUGGUGCACUUAUUCUAAGUUCUUAACCAGGUCUGAUAUUCAAGCUAUUUUGUAAGUUAUUAAAAAAUAAAAAUAUUUUAAAAAAUAUAUUUUUUUACUAUUUUUUAACUCAUUAUUGACUAUCUUACAAUAUGUGUCACGAAAAUUCUUUGCCAUACUGCUUAAAGCAGGCAUAAAUAGUGAGUGGCAUGUUAUAAAACCUCCAACUAAACCAACCAGAAAUUUUAUCUUCAAGUUAAUGCCCAACGAGAAUUGAAAGAAAGAACUGAAGCUGGAGGUGAUUGGAAGCUAUUCUACAGUUAUUAUAGAUUAAAACAAGGUGAUUUCUACAGGUUGGAUAUUAAAUUUGUGCAGGAGAGAAUCAUGAAGGUUGUCCUGCAUUAGUGACUUAUCUUAAUAGCUUACCCUCUUGAAUUAUGGAUUUGGACUUGUAAUACUUUACAAGUGACGGUCCACUUUGCAGUAUUAGAAACUUUUUGAGCUUUGAAUAGCUAUAAUGGACAUAUAUUACCCUAUAAUGGGACUCAUUGUGUAUAGCUUUAAUCUUUAAGACUUUAAACAUUUAUUAAAGAAACAAAAUAGAACUUAAGAAUUUUUGUUAUUACCACCUACUUUCCCAAAAGAUACCAAAUUUGAAAAUGAAGACAAGGAACAUAUACAUUUUGUAAGGUGAAAUUCAUGUGAAACAUGUUUUUUUUUAGACAGCAACUUUAUUCAA